GAGGUCAGCUCUCUCUCGCUCUCUCUGGCUCUCUCUUUCUAUUUGGCUCUUGCUCUGUUUAGUAGUAAAGUGCUCACCCGUGUGUGUGUGUGUGUGUGUGUGCGUGUGUGUGUGUGUGUGUGUGUGUGUGUGUGUGUGUGUGUGUGUCCACACUCAGCAGGGAGCCAGCAGUGCACAUUCUCACUGGGGAUCAUAUGUGUAUGUGCGUUGACUCAAGUACAGGGUUGGUUGUUUUCGUUUGAGGGUUGCGCUCGGUGGCUCCACGUUUUUCCACGUUUUCUGGAAGCCUUACCUCCCUCCCACGGGGCCAGUGGAGUCUCGCCACCCUCCCAAGGGGCCAGUAGAGUCUCACCUCCCUCCCACGGGGCCAGUGGAGUCUCGCCUCCCUCCCACGGGGCCAGUAGAGUCUCACCUCCCUCCCACGGGGCCAGUGGAGUCUCACCUCCCUCCCACGGGGCCAGUAGAGUCUCACCUCCCUCCCACGGGGCCAGUGGAGUCUCGCCACCCUCCCACGGGGCCAGUAGAGUCUCACCUCCCUCCCACGGGGCCAGUGGAGUCUCGCCACCCUCCCACGGGGCCAGCGGAUAUGGAUAUUCGACACAAGGGGCCGGUGCCAGUGGACUGGGACCUGACUGGGGCAGCAGACUGGGACCAUCUGACUGGAGAAACACACCUCUGUACUAUGGAGUCCAUGCAGCAUUGGAAACAGCCUAUGGUGAGACUGGCACUUGUCCAUCAGCUUACAGUGUUGGAGCAGCCGGCCCGUUGCCAUAUGGUCCAUCACCUGACGGAGGACAUGCAUCUGACCCACCACCUGGUGAUGGCAAUCCAGCCGGCAGAAAAGCGGCCAGCCCUCUGCACUACUGGAGAGAAUUAGGCAGCUCAUCAGAUCAGAGCAACGUCCCAACAGCUACUGAGUGGACACCUUGCGAUGGAUGUAAGAAGGAGUUUGACAAGCUCAUCUGUCAGAAGAGGGAAGUCGAUGAGGUCGCCUCAAAAAUAGACCCGGGCCAGCUCCAAGAGAUCCAGAAUCUCCAGAAGGAACUGUUUCCUGACAGCGGCUUGUUUGUCUCUUCCUUCCGACUUGCUGCUAUGCACCAGUCAGUGUCAGAAAUCUGUUGCUUUUGGUCGCCAUGGCAAGCCCCCAGAAGGAAAGAAGCUGCUUGAAAGGAAGAAGGUGGACGGAAUUCUAACCUAUGUCCUGAGAUGUGCAACCAUGCCAGGUUGGACAAAAAUUGAUGACAGCAAACUGAAGAAGGCCUUCAUAAACAAAUGUAGGGCCAGAGCAGGAGAGAACAGCAGUAGACCUGAAUGCACUCCUUAGCAAUGGUCGCUGUUUGUUGAGUUGUUGGUGAUGUCCCCUUUCCCCGGUCUUCAGUUUCACCAGGCUGGACUUUUUGUCCCGUUUUAUUGCACUUAGCAGGCAAGUCCCUGCAAUAGUUAGCACUUUACAUAGAAACCUGUCUCUGCUGGUUGCACAGGUUAUUUAUUUUUAUUUCAAGUGAAAUGUUUGGUUUUAUAUUUUAUAUAAAGUGUAUAAGUGUUUUAAUGUGCCCCAGUUUAACAUGUCCCCUUUCCCCAGGCUUAAAGGUAUAGUUCGGUAUUUUUGAACCUGGGCCUUAUUUCUGUCAUGGGGUGCCUUAAUCUACUAAUUGGUAGCAUUUUGGUGAAGAUCGGCGUAGUUUUGACGCUGUUCAGACCAUCCCGAUCGAGCGUGUAUCCAUAUGACGGGAGUAAGCCGGGCACAGACAAUACAUACGGAAGAGGAUUAGGGCCACACAUGUAAAAAAAAAUCAGAACUACGGGUAUCUGUAAGGACCAACCUCCGUGGGAGAGACACUUUGCUUUAGGCAGUAGGAGGAAACCUAUGGAAAGCCAAGAAGGCCACAAUCCGGCCCUAGAAUGGCGCGGUAAAAGUGCACGUCCCAUAGCCAACUCACCAAGCUCACCAAGUCCAGUAUUCAGAAUUCAAAGCAUUUAUUCACAAAUACGUUCUAUUUUUUUGACAAGCAAAGCCGAUAGUCCUGUGCAAGUAUGCAAAUUAGCCAUGUGCGCCAAACAGAAGAUAGACGCAAUGUAUAGAACUGAUUGUUGUGCAUUGUUGUGGAUAUGUAGGCUGGUUAGUUGUGGUUGUUUGUUGUCUUAGUGAAACAGCUUUGCCUUGGAGUUGGAGAAGUUGGAGUGAUUUUGUGAAUGUGCGAGAGAGAGCGCACCUGCCGUGGUGAUGUUGGGCUUGUUGUGGGCUUAUAUGUGAUCAAUGAUGUAUCUGUCUGAUCGUAUUAGCUGUAGAUGGAUGGUUAAAUAAUGUCACAAGAUCGGUCAUACUGCAGGCUCUCAUUUGCAAAUGCACUGAUUGUGUGCCCGUCUCCAAUAUGCUAUAUACCUGGCAUUUAUUCAGUUCAUGUUCUUCUGAGUGCGCAAGAACGGUGCCAAUUAUUGUCGUGUUUGCAUUGUAAUGCACAACUUUGCCCCUCCCUGUUAUAAAAUAACGUGCAUCCCAACAACUUAAGCCAAUGCAGGCUCCUAUUGCUUUACCAGUGUGUUUAACGUGUGUGUGUGUGUGUGUGUCUGUGUGUGUGUGUGUGUGUGUGUGUGUGUGUGUUGUCAUGUAGGCUAUAGAUAUAGAUUGAUUGUCUUGGCUUGCUUGCAUCCAUGAAAUAUUGUAAUGUUAUGGCCUAGCUGGCUACUGCA
ensembl:lncRNA